UCUACCUACUUGAUAGCUACCCUACAUUUAUGCACUUGACCUCUGCUGCCUAGAUUUACAACUGAGUGUUAUAUGCGUAGAUUCAUAGACAAUAUUUUCCAUAUCAUUUCUUCAAUAUGUGAAACUGCUUUUGGAUAGGUCAACAGGAUCAUUUGACGCACAGUCUUGAGGUUUAUGUGAUUGAUGUAUAGUACCUGAACGCAUCUUUUCUCCCUUUGCUCUUUUCAGCCGUUUCACACUUCGUUCAAUUUUCAGAAAGACAACUAGCCACAGCUCAAAAAUUUCACCAGCUGGUUUUUCAAGGUUCGUCAGGUUUAUCAACCAAUACUUUCCAACAACCUGCUAGUCAGUUGAUUUCAAAUAAUCAGAACUAUCUAAGUACUCUUUGAUCUGUUUCUUCUUUAUUUGAGAUCUUGUCUUGGAGAUCUUUCCUCUUUCUCAUUGUGUUAACAACCUGAUCUCAACUGACAUUCUGAUACAAAAAACAUUCAACGAGUUGACGAUCUGAUGAUAAUUUGUUGCCAGCUUUCCUUUCAUGUUGAGUAGUGAAUUUUGGAUUUAUUUUCAUUAUAGAUUAUUUAAUUUUUUUUUUUUCUUGUAAUUGCUUAUAAUUUGUCCCUUUGGCUCUUUGGCUACAUCUUAAUGAAGUGGGCUGCUUUCUGUUACUUAUAUACUUCUUCAUCAUUCUGAAGGUCAAUAAGCUUCUCACAUUUUGGCCAACUGUGUAUCUCAUUAUCUCCCCUUUCUGAUUUUCUCAGUGGAUUAGGUUGUGCUUGUGCCCUUGAUACAGUUUCAUCAGGAAGUCGGCCAACCUCCAUCAUUCUCCCUGCUCUUACAUUCAUCUCCCACGAGAGAUCAUCUGUCAAUAUCUUGAGAUUACUGAAGUUUGCACUCCUAAGGCCAACUGUUUUUCUUUUGCCGUCCUUUCUCUUACCAUCCCAAAAAGUAGGAAUGAGGUUACUUCAUGGCAGCUCUUGGCAAGCUGGCUUCUACUUCGCUGCACUAAAGCUUCCAACGUUUAGACACACGUUUAUCAUCAGAGCUCCCCACCCCUUUCUCUUUUACCAUUUUGGCAAAAACAAAUGUAACCGGUACAACCCACAGCCUCCAGGGUAGCUAGUGUCCCAUUGUGCUAUUUUUGCAACAGAUACCCUAUUCCAACAAGUCCAGCGCUUGGGUGAUUUUGACCAUGCACAAAAAGGCUAGCCUACUAUAUCUACUACAGCACUCUGAUUGUUUUGACUUUUUUUUUCUUUUUUAAUAAAUCCCCAACUAUGAUAUCACCCUAAAUCUUUGGAAAGUUUAAAUCAUUGAGAAGGAAGUCUUUGUGAUGUGCAUUUUUCAUGCAUGUCAUCCAGAAAUACAGAAGAAGUUAUUUCUUUUUCAUGGGUUCAUAUAAUCCACCUAAACUUUUAUAUAAGCAACCCAAACUUUGCUUGGCUUUGGAAUGUUUAAUUUCAUUUAUGAGUUCACAUUGUAAAAUGCAGUGAAGAAAAGACAUAAUCUGGAUUAUAUACCAGCAUCGAUUCAUGAAGGAGCACACCCUUUGUAAAAAACUAAUAAAUUCCACAGAAGGUGAAACGAUAGAAACAGUGGAUUUUAAUUUUUUGAUAUAAGGUGUCAUCAUUUGUGUGAAAUUCAAAGUUACCCAUGCGAAACAACUCAUACGUAACACACGUAUCAAGUAGAUCUAAUUCAAGAUCACAAAUCUUCAUCCUCGGGUAACUAAUUAUUUUGUCCAUGACUGUGGACUGCUAGAGCCUGAUUGUCUUACUGGCAAAUUAAGAAUUUAAAUUAGGAUUACUAUGCACAAAAGAAAUGUUGAAAUUGAAACACACCCUUUCAGAUAAGAGAGAGUAUUCCUGUAGAUAUGACAGUAAGGUCCUGAUACAUCAAGAAACCCACCAGAGUCAGAAAAAAAGGUGAAACAGAAGCUGAUAGGGAAUGUGUUUGGGCAGGCUAAGAAUAGUAGCUGUAAGGUACACAGGCUGCAAUCUCUCAUUCUCAUUUCUGUCUAGAAGGAAGAAUUAUGCUGUAACAGGAAAAAUUGCUGAAGGUUGAGGAACCUCAGUUCCACACAAAAUAGGCAACGCGUACUUAUCUUUUUUUUCGUUAGGGAAAACAAAUUGUUUUACCAAGUGAACUAUCAAUUGUUUAGACAUGGGAAUUGCAAGUACAGGGAUGAAGCAAGCAGGUACCAGUUGAGAAUCUGUCCAGCAGGGGCACUGGAAGCCUUUCAAAAAUGUUAUUAAAAAAACUCCAAAUAACCCAAAACUUGCAUUUCAUAAUGGAGGAAUAAAUGAAAUCUUCUGUAAAUUAUGACAAGCUUUUCUGAACAAUUAACCUGUAGUAAAGAUGUUCUGACAUAGCAAAAAUUCAGAGGCAAAGACCACUAAGGACAUGGGCUGCUGAAGAAAUCCUAUAAAAUUGAUUGUAUACUACAUGGAGACCUGAGUCAUCAUUUUUUCUUAUUGCAAUGUCUCUUAUUCUUUCAGUUCAGUUAAACCUGCAAACAAUUCAACCUCUAGAGCUUUAAUAUUUUUAAAGAGACACUUAUGUACAGAAGAUGUCUUAACGUGUUUGUUCCGUCAGACUGGGUUUGAUACCCUUAUUAAAAAAUAUAUAUGGCUCACUCGAUGAGAAAAUCUUCAGAGAGAAUGAUUUUUCUUAAACUUAAAAUUUGAGAUAAAAAACUGAGUAUAAAAAAGUGAAGAGGCAAGUCAUGAAGCAAGGGACAGAAAAGAAAAAUGUCUCCGAACAUGUUCUACUGAAAGUUUUUAUUAAGAAAAGUAAAGCUAAAUUCUCUGUUAGUAAGUUAAUUAGAAUUAUUUAUUAUGUUGAGGGUUUUUUGUGGGAAAUCUGAAGAAAUAACUUGAAGAAGGACACUUAUUUUGAAAGCUGCAAUCAUAAAUUUUUUUUUUUUUUUUUGAUCGAGUAAUGAAGAGGUAAACAGAAAGCAGUGCGAUGGCCUUAGGGCUUGUAUUUUAAGAGAGAGCAGAAUAUGCUUUAGCAUAUAAAAAAGAAAAACAAAUCACAGCACUCUUGAGUUUUAACCCGUAAAUAGCUAUGGUCAAACUCUGGCUGGUUUUGUUAUGGGCUUGGCUGGGCAGGCACGGGUAGCAAAAUACCAAUAGAGUGGUGGGUAAAUACAGCGUGGAUGAAGUUCUAGGCACUGGAAGGGAGCACAGUAGUGCUGCUUUUUGCACUCUGCCAGCUGAAAGCACCAGAAAUUGCGGCCCGUGCUGACAGCCGGGAACAUAAGUUGGGAGCUGAAGAUCUCGGCAGCAGGCGCACUAAUCCUUUCAUAUACGUACAUCAGUGUAGAGAGAUUCAAAAAGUGCAAAUGAGUGUAAACGAGAGUCCUUGCGUUGCAUCCUGAAAUCCUGGAGCCUUAACCCGACUUGGUGUGGCCUUCCGUUUCAAAGCAUCAUUUCUAGUCUAUCCCGUGCUGACAUUUGUGGGGAAGAGUGACAUCAGGCGCUGGCUGCGGGCCCGCCUGGUAGCAGGAGACGGUUUGCGGCGCGAGCCAGAGGACGAGCCGCGCAGCCCUCCCCGGGACAGGCGUCAGCCAGAUGGCCUGGCAGCCAUCCCGCGCCGCCGACGGGCAGGCUGGCAUCUGGGGCCUCGUAUUCGAAUGACAGUACAUAUUUCAUUUAGCUUCUCUAGCAGGCACGGGGAAGGGAUGCGCUUGUAGAGGAUGGCUGUAGCGUUCACAAGAAAUGGUAUAAAUGAAGGCAAAGUUUUAAAGGAUGAAGCUGGGAGGCGUUGGCCUUUAAAAAACCUUGAUGCGAAUUUUUCCUUCGUGUUAAUAAUAAUUUUCCCUUUCAUUUCAGUGACGGCUGGGUCAAGAUUUUUAUUUGAUGCUACUCCUUCCUACAAAAGAAAUGUUUUCCAGAUACAGACCUGGAAGGAAAAUAAUGCUAUAUUCUAAAUUAUUUUUUAAAAAGCUGCAGUUAUCACAGAAUCAAAAAGCACGGACCUUGGACGCUGCUGUUGCAGUGGCUCGUGGGAGGAAUCCAGCCAAGAGAAAAAAAAUGGAAGCAUCGCAAAACACUGAAGUAAAUGCCUGCACGUAGAAUCAUACAUUUCACCAACGCUUAUAUUGGGUACGUAUGUCUCCAUUGUUCUGCAGAAGUCAUCCUAAAAGUAGCCUCAAAAGGACAGAUGAUGUUUUUGUACAAACAGUGUUUGGGCUGCCCACAAAGAUAAGAUGGUGUUGGGUCUCGGGAGCGCCGUGCACUUCAGGCUGUUGAACGUUUAGGCCAGCUCAGGAGUGCUGUAACACAUCAUCCUGUCUGGAACAGUUUUGCCGUGAAAGCUGAGAAAGAAAAUGCAGAAUUAAAAAAAAACGAAAGUAAUCUACCUCUGUAAAGGAUCAAUUUAAAAAUGGUAUCCAGAAAAAAUUAACUAUGCCACUUCAUAAAUAAUAUUAAAGAAAACAAACAGUAAAUUGAAAUUAUUCUUUACGAAUGCAGUUCUAAAAGAGUUACUGUCAGAGCUGUACCCUUCUGCUGCAGAAAGCAGUCAUUGCAGAUGCUGUAAAAAUGCUGAAUACAAUUUAUAGAUUCGCUUUUAUGAUGUUAAGAUGACACUAACAUGGUACCAUGAUUAUUAAUUAUAACAGUGUAAAAACCA